rnacentral:rRNA from 1 species
CGGCGGACGGGUGAGUAACACGUGGAUAACCUACCUAUAAGACUGGGAUAACUUCGGGAAACCGGAGCUAAUACCGGAUAAUAUAUUGAACCGCAUGGUUCAAUGGUGAAAGACGGUUUUGCUGUCACUUAUAGAUGGAUCCGCGCCGCAUUAGCUAGUUGGUAAGGUAACGGCUUACCAAGGCAACGAUGCGUAGCCGACCUUAGAGGGUGAUCGGCCACACUGGAACUGAGACACGGUCCAGACUCCUACGGGAGGCAGCACA